AUCAUGAGUUCACAUGUCCGCAUGAUUAAAGGUAUUUUCCGGUAGACGAUGGGGAUGCGUUCCAUUAGAUAGUAGGCGGGGUAACGGCCCACCUAGUCAACGAUGGAUAGGGGUUCUGAGAGGAAGGUCCCCCACAUUGGAACUGAGACACGGUCCAAACUCCUACGGGAGGCAGCAGUGAGGAAUAUUGGUCAAUGGGCGAUGGCCUGAACCAGCCAAGUAGCGUGAAGGAUGACUGCCCUAUGGGUUGUAAACUUCUUUUAUAAAGGAAUAAAGUCGGGUAUGCAUACCCGUUUGCAUGUACUUUAUGAAUAAGGAUCGGCUAACUCCGUGCCAGCAGCCGCGGUAAUACGGAGGAUCCGAGCGUUAUCCGGAUUUAUUGGGUUUAAAGGGAGCGUAGAUGGGUGUUUAAGUCAGUUGUGAAAGUUUGCGGCUCAACCGUAAAAUUGCAGUUGAUACUGGAUGUCUUGAGUGCAGUUGAGGCAGGCGGAAUUCGUGGUGUAGCGGUGAAAUGCUUAGAUAUCACGAAGAACUCCGAUUG
rnacentral:rRNA from 1 species